rnacentral:rRNA from 1 species
AUACGUAGGUGGCAAGCGUUGUCCGGAUUUACUGGGUGUAAAGGGCGAGUAGGCGGGACUACAAGUCAGCUGUGAAAACCCGGGGCUUAACCCCGGGCCUGCAGUUGAAACUGUAGUUCUUGAGUGAUGGAGAGGCAGGCGGAAUUCCCGGUGUAGCGGUGGAAUGCGUAGAUAUUAGGAGGAACACCAGUGGCGAAGGCGGCUUACUGGACGAUAACUGACGCUGAGGCUCGAAAGCGUGGGGAGC